ensembl:lncRNA
GGCUUUGGAAGAAGCAUAAAUUCAAGCAGGUAAUGGAGAUGGUGUGAUGGAGAACAUUUCACAUAAGGACAGAAGAUUAUCUCUACUAGAUCAGAUUAAAGGCCUAUUUAGUCCAGCAUCCUGUUUUCUGCAGGGGCUAGCCACAUGGCUGUGGGAAGCCAACAGACAAAAGCCCUCUCCUGUUCUUUCUCAGGAAUUGUUUUGUAGAUCCGAGGCAGUAUCCUGGCAGCAAAGGGUGUGUCGAGGUCAAGGAGUCAGCAGACAGCAAGAACUGAUAUCUUUGUUGCUCAGAUUGGUGAACUAACCUGACCCAGAAGAUCUUACAAAGGUCAGGAUGAAGCAUUUGUCCUGUGGAUUUCCUUGGCUGGUGAUCUUUGUUGCCUGCAAUUAGGGAUGCUUGAGGAACUUUUGAUCUUUGCAAAUUACAGGACGAACAGAUCUAACGUGCACCUCCCAGACUAAUGUGCAGAUAACGACAAAGUUAUCCAUUGGAUUUCUCAUUUUUCUGAAGGUUGCCACACACAUUUUGGCUCAAAAACAUACCAGAUAUGCAGUUAAUAUGUGUAUUUUGAGAUAACAUACAUUUUAAAUUACCUAUUUAACUGUGAAUUGUUGUGUGUUUAAUGAAGAAACAAGAUGGGAUGCAUGCACGGGUAAACAUCCCUUUUAUUAUAAAGCAGCCUUUCUCAACCUUACUUCCCCAGAUGUUGUUAGACUACAACUCCCAUCAUCUCUGACUGCUGGCCCUGCUAGCUAGGAACGAUGGGAGUUGAGGUCCAACAAUAUUUGGAGACACAAGGUUGAGAAAGGCUCUUCUAGCCUGUGCUUCAUUGGUUCAUAGGGUGGGCUACAGUAUAAAACAUAUGCAACAAUUACACAAAGAGUCAAAGACAAGUCUAAAAAUAUAAAGCAAUGGACAAAGACGUGAAACAGUCAGUAAUGGAAGAAGCUGGAAAGCCAGUUAUUUAACAACCAGUCUUGCAAGAAUGCAUGGGUGAAUGGUAUGGCGUCAGUCAGUACAGAGAAGCAAAUGGCAUCAGUGCCAGAUGCACUUCAGAGGGGAGAGCAUUCCACAAUCACAGUACCACCAUAGAGGUGCCAGCACUGUACUGUGUCACAAUAUGCCUCACUCAGGGCCAGCCUGAUCAUAAGCCUUGCUGAGGCAGUCACCUAAGUGGCAGGCUCAGGAGAGCUGGCAGCCGUGACAGACCUGAAAAGGAAAGAGGAUAGGCAUUCUCCUUUACUUUUUCCACUCCUUCAGUUGCAGAUGCAGUGCUGCAAGGAUCUUGUCACUGCCCGCCUUGGGAGGGAUCUGGGCCUGGUGGCCCCACAGGCUUUCUCCAGUUGUCUCAGCCUGUGGCUUCCUACAGAGGCCACCACAGGUCAGAGGUGGAGAAGACACACGAGGGCCCCAGCUGCUACCAUUCCUGUCACUGUCAUCUGUGCCAGCCCCCAGCACUGGCCCCAGCCAAUGAGCGAGGGGCUUUCCUGCUGCUGAGUCACCUCAAGUGGCAAAAUGUCUUGGAAGUGGCCCUGGCUCCACCCAAAGGUGCAUCAACAAGUAGGAUCUGGGCCAGAUAUGGAGUGAUAUUUGAAUGUGGCAUAGAGUGAUAUGUGUAUUGCUAUAGUGGUUCACUCCAGGUAAGGGUAUACAGGGUACGUUUCUCCUGUUUAUAACUCAGGCAACCACUUUAGUGCCUGUACAGCCUAAUACACAUUUCUUUUUCUUUCCCACCCACCACCCAAUCAUGGUUGAAAUCUGAACAACAUUCUGGUUACUUCAUUGAACGUGGAGAGUGCAAAUGAGGCUCAAAGGCUCAUAGAACAUUUCAAUUGCUUGCUUUUCUUUCAGGGUUCACAUUACUCUGUCAAAGAUAGCACAAAUGAACUCUCAUUAUUUAUCAUUAUGAAAAUUGUACUCGUGGCUGCGACAGUGUAGGUAACUCAGGUGCUGAUGCAGAUUCCUUAUGUCAGAAAGAAGUACAGUGCUUGUUUAAGAAC